UCAGGAACUUUGUCACGUAUGA
rnacentral:miRNA from 1 species